UUUCUUUGCCUCUCGCCCUUUUUUCUCCCCUAAAUCUGCGGCGUUUCUCUAACUCUCCUCUCAGUUAACUAAAUCUUCAUUCUUCCUACUUGGACUAUCUACAUUUUCUCCGCACCGCAAGCAUCCUCUCCCUUCGUCUUCGUCGCGCAUCAAUGGUGGCACGGCCACGAGCGGCAUCACGGCCGCCUAGUGUGGCUGCUCGCGGUCUCGCGAGGCGGCCUCCUCGCGGCUGCACACGGAAAACCGCUACUCUCGCCCACGCGAGGCGGCCGCCCACUUGUCGCCGCGCGACGCCGCUACACGAGCUGGCUGUGCGGCCGCUCGAGCAGACGCCUCGCUCGAUCGAUUGCGGUCUCAAUCGGUUGCAUAGCCGCUUCGCACGACCUCCUCGCAUCUGCUCGCAUGAGGCAGCGCCACAUCAUGCUCUUUCUACAAUGAUAGAUUCGAAGGAGGAAAGGAUCGAACUACAAAAUUGUCAAUGAUAUCAGAAAUAAAAAUAUCUAUAAUUCUAUCAUUUCUCACCAAAGGCACCUGUUUGUUCUUCAUAACAUCUCUUGCAACCAGUUCAAAGGAUCGAACUCCUUUGAAGUAUUCUGCUAAAAAGGUGAGGUAUCAUUGUCCAGAGGAGGAGAUUGCUUUAGGUCCUAGUUGCCGGUUAUGGGAUUACUUACGAAGAAGUGGAGCAUCCGGUUUCUUACUUCCUCUUUCUGGUGGAGCAGAUAGUUCAAGUGUUUCUACCAUUGUCGGUUGUAUGCCUCAGCUUCUAAUAAAAGGCGUGUUCUAUAUUCAUGUUAAUGCUAUUUCAGGAUUUUUCAUGUCAGUGUUUUUACUGGAAGAUGCUGUUUAUGAAAACAAUUGCAAUUUACUACGUACAUAGUUGAAUUGUCCGCUUGAUGGGGCUCAGUUUGACCUGUAAGUUCAAUCAGCUUGGUCAGCCUUUCGAUCAAGUACUGACCAAAUGUUUGCCUAAACAUCAUUCAGUUAGUCUAGCCGACAUUGCAUUCUGCUAGAGGCAAACCCCCCCUUUUUCACCUCUCAUUCUUUGUAGCUCAUGAGGGCUCCCAUCCCUCACUCAAAUGCCAAUAUACUUGUAUGCUCAAAUUGCCCGUGAUGUAAUUUUGUUGCUCAUGACAAUAUUGAUAUUCUUUAUGAGUAUAUGAUGUGAAUUAUUUAGUGAUCUUCUAUAUAUGGGCCUUGUCAAAAGCUUUUUUCCCCUCUCUUGCUCAUCUUUUCAAAUGAACGGAGCCAUUGAAGCCUAGUGUUCUAGAUAUUACUGAUGUCAUUCAUGCCAACCAAUAUUAGAAUAUGACUUAUUCCAGCAUGUCGAGCUUUGUCAAAGAUUGGAUUGGCUUACUUUGGGUAGUAUCAGAUAGGAAAGGUAAGAUUGGCAAAACUCUGGAGUUUAAAGUGUCAUUUCUCAAAUUGAUAUUGCUUGUGGCUUCUACGUUGCAUCAACCAAUCAGGAGAUUGAUUUUAUUGUCCAUUCCAGGAUACUGAAUUGUCUAUCCACCUUCUGUUUCAUGAGCAAGACAAUGUUGAAUUGUUGUUGUAACUUCUCUCCCAAACGUGUUUUCUCAAAAUAUCUAAUUUCCUGGCAUUCAAGCAAAUUAGCAAGUUUGAUAAGCUUACCUGUGACUUUGAUCAAUACUAUUUAGAAUCUUGGUUACUAGAUAACCCAAAUUUUGCAGAUUCAAGAUGAUGGAGAUGAACAGGUAAAAGCUGAUGCAUUAACGAUUGGCCUUUUAUAAGAAUGGUGAGAUUCCAACGGACAACAAAGAGUUUGGAAAGAGGAUAUUUUACACUGUUUAUAUGGGAUAUGAAAACAGUUCUGAAGUAACCAGGUCUCGUGCUAAGAUGCUGGCAGAUUUCAAAUGUAGAUAUCGAUGCUGUUAUUUCUACAUUACUCUCUUUGUUCCAAACUCUGACAGGGAAGUGCCUGCGUUACGAGGUUGAUGGAGGAUCUAAUACCGAGAACCUAGCGCUGCAAAAUAUUCAAGCUCGAGUUAGAAUGGUGCUUGCAUUUAUGCUAACUUCUCUUAUGCCAUGGGUUUAUAGUAAACCUAGGUUUUUUCUUGUAUUAGGCAGCUCAAAUGUGGAUGAAAGAUUACGUGGCUAUUUGACCAAGGUAAAAAGAUUUUCUUGUUAAAGGCAACUUGUUCUUGUCUCAGUAAACUUGGUGCAAGACAACUUAAGUAUUAAAGAACCAAGAGAGGUCAUACUUAAAGUUGGAUAAGUUCGAAAUCUGGAGGACCCUAUGUUGUGGUAAUUAGGCUUGUUGAGCUCAUCUAUUUACUUCUCCUCUAAUUUGCUAAUUAGGCUUGUUGAGCUCAUGAUUUUUUAAUUGAAUAAUAGUAUAAUUAAUAUUUGCAAUCUUUUUGUAGUACGAUUGCAGUUCUGUAUUACUUCAAUAAAAAAAAUGGUAAUGUUGAUAAUAUUAACUAA